AUCACAUGUCGGAUCCCAUGCAGUCGACGGUAACAGGAAGCAGCUUGCUGCUUCGCUGACGAGUGGCGGACGGGUGAGUAAUGUCUGGGAAACUGCCUGAUGGAGGGGGAUAACUACUGGAAACGGUAGCUAAUACCGCAUAACGUCGCAAGACCAAAGAGGGGGACCUUCGGGCCUCUUGCCAUCGGAUGUGCCCAGAUGGGAUUAGCUAGUAGGUGGGGUAACGGCUCACCUAGGCGACGAUCCCUAGCUGGUCUGAGAGGAUGACCAGCCACACUGGAACUGAGACACGGUCCAGACUCCUACGGGAGGCAGCAGUGGGGAAUAUUGCACAAUGGGCGCAAGCCUGAUGCAGCCAUGCCGCGUGUAUGAAGAAGGCCUUCGGGUUGUAAAGUACUUUCAGCGGGGAGGAAGGCGAUAAGGUUAAUAACCUUGUCGAUUGACGUUACCCGCAGAAGAAGCACCGGCUAACUCCGUGCCAGCAGCCGCGGUAAUACGGAGGGUGCAAGCGUUAAUCGGAAUUACUGGGCGUAAAGCGCACGCAGGCGGUCUGUCAAGUCGGAUGUGAAAUCCCCGGGCUCAACCUGGGAACUGCAUUCGAAACUGGCAGGCUAGAGUCUUGUAGAGGGGGGUAGAAUUCCAGGUGUAGCGGUGAAAUGCGUAGAGAUCUGGAGGAAUACCGGUGGCGAAGGCGGCCCCCUGGACAAAGACUGACGCUCAGGUGCGAAAGCGUGGGGAGC
rnacentral:rRNA from 1 species